rnacentral:rRNA from 1 species
UAGGGAAUCUUCUGCAAUGGACGGAAGUCUGACCGAGCAACGCCGCGUGAGUGAAGAAGGUUUUCGGAUCGUAAAGCUCUGUUGUAAGAGAAGAACGAGUGUGAGAGUGGAAAGUUCACACUGUGACGGUAUCUUACCAGAAAGGGACGGCUAACUACGUGCCAGCAGCCGCGGUAAUACGUAGGUCCCGAGCGUUGUCCGGAUUUAUUGGGCGUGAAGCGAGCGCAGGCGGUUAGAUAAGUCUGAAGUUAAAGGCUGUGGCUUAACCAUAGUACGCUUUGGAAACUGUUUAACUUGAGUGCAAGAGGGGAGAGUGGAAUUCCAUGUGUAGCGGUGAAAUGCGUAGAUAUAUGGAGGAACACCGGUGGCGAAAGCGGCUCUCUGGCUUGUAACUGACGCUGAGGCUCGAAAGCGUGGGGAGCAAACAGGAUUAGAUACCCUGGUAGUCCACGCCGUAAACGAUGAGUGCUAGGUGUUAGACCCUUUCCGGGGUUUAGUGCCGUAGCUAACGCAUUAAGCACUCCGCCUGGGGAGUACGACCGCAAGGUUGA